GGACCUAAAAUCUUCAUCUGGAUCCAUCAUUAAAAACUAAAACAUCCAUUUGUGGACGUUGUGUUGGCAGAGGUUGCCAUUAACCGAUCAAAAUAUAGGAAUUUUGAUUUCAACACACCCCUAUUGGUGUUGCGGCAUGGAGACGGGGUAUUAGCUGCGCUGUGAACUAUGUGCCUUGGGGCUCCGUAUUGAUGGGUUGGACGUCGUUUCCCAAGAGAAAAAGCUGUGGGCUGAAGAUAUCCAGCCUUUCUUUGGACCUUCGGUAUACACUAACCAGUAUGGAAAGGCAAUUCGGUCGGUGCCGACUGUAUAAUACCCUACACCUACCGUAUAGAUGGAUUGUUAAGCGUUAUACAAUAUCGAGUGUCUUGAAAUACACCCCCCAAUAUGAUCACUGACUACUUGAUUCAGCCGUCAGUGAACACAUAGUUCGUCUCAUCAUCCUGAAACGCCACAUCCGUUGGUCAAUUCUUUCUUCCUGGAAAACGAAUUGUAAAAAUCUUAUCCUUAAGUGAUCUUAUCCUUCAACGACCAUCCUUUCCGUGAUGGCUGUGGCGUCUCUUUGGAAGUCGCAGUCCUCCAUGCAGACUCAGGAUCCGUUUGCGCUGCCUUCGUUCCUGUUCCGACUUUGUCUCCCUCAGCAGGACACUGUCUGGAGUCUCCAUGCGGGAUGACUGGCUUUGUAUUCACAGUGUACUUGAAAGCGCUUCCGUAGAAAUACCUGGAAUGUCAGUUCCUUCCAGCCUUCCAGCAUCCUACACUUUCGCCUGAUUUUGCUGCCGGCGCAUACUUUUCAGCCCCUUUCGUCGUGCCCCGGAUUGCUUUCUCGGUCUUCUUGUGAGCUUAGCAAAGUCCUCAUCUCUCGAUUCGGCUGGGAUGACUGUUUCAUUGACACUGGCGUUGUCUGAGUCUGAAUCGAAAACAGCCAUAAAAAUUACGCAGUUUCCGGUAGAAAAUGAACCAAUUUUUCCAUUUCUACGAUAAGCUUUAGCAACAUAUAACAAUCAACAACAGAUUGCUAGACCCAUAAGUACCUGCUAGCUGUUUGCAAGGCAAAUCAUCCCCUCCCAAUUCUUGGGGCAAUAUAUGGCGUGGUAAGUAUUCAUGCAAACUAUCCAAACUGGUGUGAACAAUGAAGGAAUUUCGAAGUUCCUUUUUGAUGAAUGGAUUGAUCAGACUCAUUAGCCUUUCCAUAAUCGAAGAGGGGUUAACAAAGUGCACACUUAU
rnacentral:sRNA from 1 species